ACUGAACGCUGGCGGCAUGCCUUACACAUGCAAGUCGAACGGUAACAGGUCUUCGGAUGCUGACGAGUGGCGAACGGGUGAGUAAUACAUCGGAACGUGCCUAGUAGUGGGGGAUAACUACUCGAAAGAGUGGCUAAUACCGCAUGAGAUCUACGGAUGAAAGCAGGGGAUCGCAAGACCUUGUGCUACUAGAGCGGCCGAUGGCAGAUUAGGUAGUUGGUGGGAUAAAAGCUUACCAAGCCGACGAUCUGUAGCUGGUCUGAGAGGACGAUCAGCCACACUGGGACUGAGACACGGGCCAGACUCCUACGGGAGGCAGCAGUGGGGAAUUUUGGACAAUGGGCGCAAGCCUGAUCCAGCAAUGCCGCGUGCAGGAUGAAGGCCUUCGGGUUGUAAACUGCUUUUGUACGGAACGAAAAGCCCUGGGUUAAUACCCUGGGGUCAUGACGGUACCGUAAGAAUAAGCACCGGCUAACUACGUGCCAGCAGCCGCCGUAA
rnacentral:rRNA from 1 species